AGUACAAACAAUAAGUUUAAAUUACAGGACUGAGUUGCUUCAGUUAACCUAAUAAAAAUGUUUAAAAAACAUCAUCAUUCAAUAGCAAUAUAAAUAACUACUAAUGUGUCGAAAUUCACCGGAUUAGGUAUAUAGAAAGUGCGAAUGAAAAACAUUAUUUUGCUGGAAGAAGCUUGGAUUGAUUUUAUUGAUUUUUGGGCGGAGAGAAAGUGGAAACGUGGAAGAAAUGAGGAUAUUAAUAAUAUUAACAAUCAAUUUCACAAUUUGACAGCUACGACAAUAUGUAUGCACUUGCACGAAGUGGUAACAAAUCUGUAUUUUAAAUAGGACUGGAGCAAUGCUAUAUUUGUGGGAAACUCAUUUCAAGUUGUUUUCAUUGGUCUGUCUGCUAUGGAUAGGGGAGUUUCCCUUUAAAAGUGUUCAAUUGGACCAAUGACGGUGAAUUUAGGCCACGCUGACCGCGGACAGUUUUUUCAAGAGCGUCAGUCCCGUCUCGUUCGCUCUGUCAACGGAAACGUCCAAAUUUAAAUCUGACACGAACUCGGCCAGGCAAUUUACCGCCGGCAGU